AACGAACGCUGGCGGCAGGCCUAACACAUGCAAGUCGAGCGCGCCUUCGGGUGAGCGGCGCACGGGUGCGUAACGCGUAUGCAACCUACCUCAUACAGGAGAAUAGCCCUUGGAAACGAGGAUUAAUACUCCAUGGUAUCAUUCUUUCGCAUGUUAGAAUGAUUAAAGAAUUUCGGUAUGAGAUGGGCAUGCGUCCCAUUAGCUUGUUGGUGAGGUAACGGCUCACCAAGGCAACGAUGGGUAGGGGGCCUGAGAGGGUGGUCCCCCACACUGGUACUGAGACACGGACCAGACUCCUACGGGAGGCAGCAGUGAGGAAUAUUGGUCAAUGGAGGAAACUCUGAACCAGCCAUGCCGCGUGAAGGAUGACGGCCCUAUGGGUUGUAAACUUCUUUUAUAUGGGAAGAAACUUAUCUACGUGUAGAUAACUGACGGUACCAUACGAAUAAGGAUCGGCUAACUCCG
rnacentral:rRNA from 1 species